GCAGGACGCCGUGUUCUAGUUCGCUGUGUGCUAUCUGCCAUGCCUUCCUUUGCGUUCACGAUGCUGUGGAUCCCAAAGAGGUUCAUAAAGGAGAUCGACAAGGCAAGACGGCGAUUCCUCUGGGCGGGCGACGAAGAAAUCUCGAGCGGCAAAUGCAAGGUUGGAUGGGCAUCAGUCACCAAGCCGGAGUAGCUGGGCGGGCUAGGCAUCCCCGACCUCAGCCGCUUCACCCGGGCCCUACGGUUGCGCUGGUUGUGGCUAUCCUGGAGGCAGCCAACCAGGCCUUGGGUAGGAACCGGGACGCCGUGCGACGUAGCCGACCGGGCUCUUUUUGCGGCCUCCACGGCGGUGACCAUCGGAAAUAAGACUAGUGCAUCUUUCUGGUCGUCUUCAUGGCUAGGAGGGCGGCAGUUGUGCUUGGCAUACCCCGAUCUGUUUGCCCGAUCCAUCCGCAAGAACAGAAGCGUAAAGGCAGCUCUGACAGCCGAUCGAUGGAUCCUAGACCUCCGCAACAACGGCGACUGCAACACCAUUGUCCAUCAAGUCGUGCAGCUGGCACGAGAGAUCAGAGGGGCCCAAAUCAACCUGGAGCCUCAGGACCCGGACACGAUCAAAUGGAAGCUCUGUAGCUCGGGCAACUACUCGGCAAGGUCGGCGUAUAACACACAAUUCGACAGAAUCAGCCAUGCAGCUUCAAAAUUAUCAUUUGGAAGAUCUGGGCUCUAG
rnacentral:rRNA from 1 species